CCUACGGGCGACAGCAGUGAGGAAUAUUGGUCAAUGGCCGCAGGGCUGAACCAGCCAAGUCGCGUGAGGGAUGACGGUCCUAUGGAUUGUAAACCUCUUUUGUCAGGGAACAAAGGGCGCCACGUGUGGCGCUUUGCGAGUACCUGAAGAAAAAGCAUCGGCUAACUCCGUGCCAGCAGCCGCGGUAAUACGGAGGAUGCGAGCGUUAUCCGGAUUUAUUGGGUUUAAAGGGUGCGCAGGCGGAAUGUCAAGUCAGCGGUAAAAUUUCGGGGCUCAACCCCGUCGUGCCGUUGAAACUGGCGUUCUUGAGUGAGCGAGAAGUAUGCGGAAUGCGUGGUGUGGCGGUGAAAUGCAUAGAUAUCACGCAGAACUCCGAUUGCGAAGGCAGCAUACCGGCGCUCAACUGACGCUCAUGCACGAAAGCGUGGGUAUCGAACAGGAUUAGAUACCCGAGUAGUC
rnacentral:rRNA from 1 species